CAGAAUGUAUGUCGUUAAAUACUAUCGGGAGUUUUAAUCAUUUCUAGAUUUUACAAACAACCACAUUCAUAAAGAUGAAAGUUUUAGCAGUUCUUGUUUUAGUUGUGGUGGGAGUUUACUGCGAAGAGACAUGUUUAAGAGCAUGUCAGUUAAUCAAUGACCCGGUUUGUGCUACCUAUACGAAGACAUAUGGCAAUGAAUGUAUGAUGAAAGCCGAUGCUUGCGAAAUGGCUAAGAAGGGUUUCAGUCUAGUGAAACAACCUGCUGUUGGAGAAUGUAGUUGUCUACGUGCCUGUACGUUUAUCUACAAACCAGUCUGUGCUAAUGAUGGCAAUACAUACAACUCAGAAUGUCUCAUGGGAUCCGAAUCUUGCAGACAAGGUAAAUUCUUGGAAGUUGUACAUGAAGGAGAAUGUAAAUAAACCAGAAUGAUUUAUGAUUUAGUUACAGGAAUUGUAAUUUUGAAUUAUGAACAAUCAACCCCAAUGUCUUUUAUAAAUGUACUAAUGUUAAUCAGGUAAU